rnacentral:misc_RNA from 1 species
GAUGAAGAACGUAGCGAAAUGCGAUAAGUAAUGUGAAUUGCAGAAUUCAGUGAAUCAUCGAAUCUUUGAACGCACAUUGCGCCCGCUAGUAUUCUGGCGGGCAUGCCUGUCCGAGCGUCAUUUCAACCCUCAAGCCCCCGGGCUUGGUGUUGGGGAUCGGCGAGCCUCCGCGCCCGCCGUCCCCUAAAUCUAGUGGCGGUCUCGCUGCAGCUUCCUCUGCGUAGUAGCACACCUCGCACUGGGAAACAGCGCGGCCACGCCGUUAAACCCCCAACUUCUGAACGUUUGACCUCGGAUCAGGUAGGAAUACCCGCUGAACUUAAGCAUAUCAAUAAGCGGAGGA